AGGGCACCACCAGGAGUGGAGCCUGCGGCUUAAUUUGACUCAACACGGGGAAACUCACCCGGCCCGGACACCGGAAGGAUUGACAGAUUGAUAGCUCUUUCUUGAUUCGGUGGAUGGUGGUGCAUGGCCGUUCUUAGUUGGUGGAGCGAUCUGUCUGGUUAAUUCCGAUAACGAACGAGACUCUAGCCUAUUAAAUAGACGUCGGGUUCUCUGCACUCGACGGUCUUCUUAGAGGGACAAGGUGCUUUUAGCACCGCGAAACAGAGCAAUAACAGGUCUGUGAUGCCCUUAGAUGUCCGGGGCCGCACGCGCGCUACACUGAAGGAAGCAGCGUGUAACAACCUCAUUCUAACGAACUGGGUAACCCGUGGAACUUCCUUCAUGAUUGGGAUAGGGGUUUGCAAUUGUGCCCCUUGAACGAGGAAUUCCCAGUAAACACUAGUCAUCAGCUAGUGCUGAUUACGUCCCUGCCCUUUGUACACACCGCCUGUCGCUACUACCGAUUGAAUGGUUUAGUGA
rnacentral:rRNA from 1 species